rnacentral:lncRNA from 1 species
UGUAACUUUAAUAAUUGUUAUGUAGUUGGACACAUAUUCAGCAAAUUCAUAUACAAAUAUAUAUACAAAUCGUCUAAACAUCAACCCAACAAUGUUAGAUCUGUAAAUUUGCUUUCACAAUUUUUGUUCUUCCCUGGCCGGGAUUCGAACUCAUGCUACUGAGAUAUCGUGACAUCAAAUCGCCUGCACUGUAGCCGUCCCGCUAGACCACAC